rnacentral:rRNA from 1 species
AUGCCUGUUCGAGCGUCAUUUCAACCCUCAGGCCCCCAGUGCCUGGUGUUGGGGAUCGGCAGCAGGGCGUCAAGCCCGCCGGCCCCGAAAUCUAGUGGCGGUCUCGCUGUAGUCCUCCUCUGCGUAGUAGCACAACCUCGCAGUUGGAACGCGGCGGUGGCCAUGCCGUUAAACACCCCACUUCUGAAAGUUGACCUCGGAUCAGGUAGGAAUACCCGCUGA